AUUGAACGCUGGCGGCAGGCCUAACACAUGCAAGUCGAGCGGAUGAAGGGAGCUUGCUCCUGGAUUCAGCGGCGGACGGGUGAGUAAUGCCUAGGAAUCUGCCUGGUAGUGGGGGAUAACGUCCGGAAACGGGCGCUAAUACCGCAUACGUCCUGAGGGAGAAAGUGGGGGAUCUUCGGACCUCACGCUAUUAGAUGAGCCUAGGUCGGAUUAGCUAGUUGGUGGGGUAAAGGCCUACCAAGGCGACGAUCCGUAACUGGUCUGAGAGGAUGAUCAGUCACACUGGAACUGAGACACGGUCCAGACUCCUACGGGAGGCAGCAGUGGGGAAUAUUGGACAAUGGGCGAAAGCCUGAUCCAGCCAUGCCGCGUGUGUGAAGAAGGUCUUCGGAUUGUAAAGCACUUUAAGUUGGGAGGAAGGGCAGUAAGUUAAUACCUUGCUGUUUUGACGUUACCAACAGAAUAAGCACCGGCUAACUUCGU
rnacentral:rRNA from 1 species